GGCGCUCUGCCCGAGUGGUUAAGGGGUAAGUCUCGAAUUUUAAUUCGUUCAUCUCGAGAAGAUGAGUAAACUUAUAGGCUCUGCCUGCGUCGGUUCAAAUCCGACGGGCGUCG